rnacentral:rRNA from 1 species
AGCGAACGCUGGCGGCAGGCCUAACACAUGCAAGUCGAACGGACCUUUCGGGGUGAGUGGCAGACGGGUGAGUAACGCGUGGGAACGUGCCCUUCAGUUCGGGAUAACCCAGGGAAACUUGGGCUAAUACCGGAUACGUGCGAGAGCAGAAAGAUUUAUCGCUGAAGGAUCGGCCCGCGUCUGAUUAGCUAGUUGGUGGGGUAAUGGCCCACCAAGGCGACGAUCAGUAGCUGGUCUGAGAGGAUGAUCAGCCACAUUGGGACUGAGACACGGCCCAAACUCCUACGGGAGGCAGCAGUGGGGAAUAUUGGACAAUGGGCGCAAGCCUGAUCCAGCCAUGCCGCGUGAGUGAUGAAGGCCUUAGGGUUGUAAAGCUCUUUCGUCCGGGACGAUAAUGACGGUACCGGAAGAAGAAGCCCCGGCUAACUUCGUGCCAGCCGCCGCAGUAA